UCCUUGAAUGGAAAAAAUGAAACUGAACAGAUGAGUUUAAUGUUAGGAAAAAGGAAAGGAAAGAGAGGUCAAAUUUCUCUAAUUUGCUAUUUCAGAACAAACCUGAGAGGGACCACCCUGGCCCUGCUCCCCUACAGGCUAUAAGCCUUUUUAAAGAAAUCGUGAAGAAUAAAACAAGUGCUGUGGCAGUUGAAGAGAGAUGAAAAAAGACUUAGGGUGAAAACCGAGACCAAUGAAGAGGCCCUCUCAUUAAUCCAGAUAGAGAUGGUGGCUUGGGGCAUGGAUAUUGCAUUGGAGGUGACGAAAGAUGGCCAGCAUUGGGAAAAACAGGAUGAAAGGUACAAGUGUGGGUACGGACUAAUGAAGUCACAUACACAUUACAUUUUAUUGACAAUGGAAUUUCUGUCUGUACACAGAAUAUGAAUUACAAAUGGAUAUUAACUACACAAAGCCCAGUUGAACUUAUAAAAAGUUACUUCAACAGGUUUUGUGUUAUAUAGCUUAGUGAAAGGAAAAUGCAGUUACUUAGCACCACUUCAGAAUAGCUGCUUUAAGUGUAGACACAUAUGCACAAAGACAUCACAUCACCAUCAUCAUCAUCAUACAUAACCAAAUAGUAAGUCUCCAAACAAAGUCAAUAACUGACUUACAGAAUAAAUAUUAGAGUUUCUUAUAAAGUAGUGGUUGACAGCAAAUUUUAAAAGCAGCUGAGAGAUCAGCAAAAUUGUAAGAAAGUCUAACAUAUUUUGAAGUUGGAUGUGACUUUUAGCAACAUAUAAAUGGGUUAAAAAAUGUGAGUCUUAUUCACAUUAUAAAUGAAAACACCAGUGAAGUGCAAUUUCAAAUAAUUAAGAACUUUUAGUUCAUGAUAAAGAGGCCAAGAUAUCCCCAUAAACAUUCUUAGAAUUGCAAAGGGGAGGCACUCAUCUCUAGUGAAGGGCAGAUGUGGCCCCAGGCCUGUUAAUCACAAGCAUCAGCAUCACAGAGAUGGGCCUAUCAGCUUCCUGGGGGUUUUGUUUCCGCCUCAGCUACAUAGUUGAGGGAGGGAGUUUAUUUCUAGCAGCCUGUAAUGGACUUUUCCACUGAAAAAGAAAUUAAACCACCUUAAGACUACCUGCUUUAAAGAAACAUUGAGAAUAUAAUAAAAAUUAAGCCUGUUAAAUAUAUGCACUUUUUACUUCCCCGUAUAAUACCAUAGUUUAGAAAUAAUCUGUAUUGUUGCUGUGGAAAUCUGGUCACAGAAUCUCAGCAUGUUGUUUAAAAAUUUGAAAAUGAAUCAUCAAACAAUUUUAUAUAUAUAUACAUAUAUAUAUACACAUAUAUACAUAUAUAUAUACAUAUUCCUAAAAUAAUUUUUAAAUGUCCCUGAAUUUGGGUUAAAU
ensembl:lncRNA